GUAGCUAAUACCGCAUAACGUCUACGGACCAAAGUGGGGGACCUUCGGGCCUCACACCAUCGGAUGUGCCCAGAUGGGAUUAGCUGGUAGGUGGGGUAAUGGCUCACCUAGGCGACGAUCCCUAGCUGGUCUGAGAGGAUGACCAGCCACACUGGAACUGAGACACGGUCCAGACUCCUACGGGAGGCAGCAGUGGGGAAUAUUGCACAAUGGGCGCAAGCCUGAUGCAGCCAUGCCGCGUGUGUGAAGAAGGCCUUCGGGUUGUAAAGCACUUUCAGCGAGGAGGAAGGCGUUGUAGUUAAUAACUGCAGCGAUUGACGUUACUCGCAGAAGAAGCACCGGCUAACUCCGUGCCAGCAGCCGCGGUAAUACGCAGGGUGCAAGCGUUAAUCGGAAUUACUGGGCGUAAAGCGCACGCAGGCGGUCUGUUAAGUCAGAUGUGAAAUCCCCGGGCUUAACCUGGGAACUGCAUUUGAAACUGGCAGGCUAGAGUCUCGUAGAGGGGGGUAGAAUUCCAGGUGUAGCGGUGAAAUGCGUAGAGAUCUGGAGGAAUACCGGUGGCGAAGGCGGCCCCCUGGACGAAGACUGACGCUCAGGUGCGAAAGCGUGGGGAGCAAACAGGAUUAGAUACCCUGGUAGUCCACGCUGUAAACGAUGUCGAUUUGGAGGUUGUGGCCUUGAGCCGUGGCUUCCGGAGCUAACGCGUUAAAUCGACCGCCUGGGGAGUACGACCGCAAGGUUAAAACUCAAAUGAAUUGACGGGGGCCCGCACAAGCGGUGGAGCAUGUGGUUUAAUUCGAUGCAACGCGAAGAACCUUACCUACUCUUGACAUCCAGAGAACUUUCCAGAGAUGGAUUGGUGCCUUCGGGAACCCUGAGACAGGUGCUGCAUGGCUGUCGUCAGCUCGUGUUGUGAAAUGUUGGGUUAAGUCCCGCAACGAGCGCAACCCUUAUCCUUUGUUGCCAGCGAUUCGGUCGGGAACUCAAAGGAGACUGCCAGUGAUAAACUGGAGGAAGGUGGGGAUGACGUCAAGUCAUCAUGGCCCUUACGAGUAGGGCUACACACGUGCUACAAUGGCAUAUACAAAGAGAAGCGACCUCGCGAGAGCAAGCGGACCUCAUAAAGUAUGUCGUAGUCCGGAUUGGAGUCUGCAACUCGACUCCAUGAAGUCGGAAUCGCUAGUAAUCGUA
rnacentral:rRNA from 1 species